CCUAUGGAGAAUACAUCUUGAACAUACCCGAUCUCAUCUGAUCUCAGAAGCUAAGCUCGGUCAGGCAUGAUUAGUACUUGGAUGGAAGAUUGUAAGAAAGUUGGCAUUUGUUUAAAGUU
rnacentral:rRNA from 1 species